rnacentral:lncRNA from 1 species
GGCCAAACAAACCCACCUCCAAGAGUCUUCUCCCAGACUCCAGCCUUGAGGAUGAGGACUCCAGGGAUGUCUGUGUGGUCACAGAGUACCUGUGGGAGGGCAAUUCUGACCCCAAGGUAGGAAGCAGUGAUCCGGUAAUUCCAGGCACCAAGGCAGAUAAAAAGACCAAGGUAGGUGAACAGCAGAGUAGAGGCCUGGGUGUGAAAGGAGAAAGCCAUGAGCAUCUGGUUGGGAGUGGGAGCCCCACAGGGAAAGCACCGAGUUCCCUUCCUCUCCUCUCCACCACUCAACAGCCACAGCCUCCUCAAGAAGUUUGAAGUCUGCAUUGAACUCAUUAAUUUCCAGCUUUUGGCCGGGCGUGGUGGCUCAUGACUAUAAUUCCAGCACUUUAGGAGGCCAAGGUGGGCGGAUCACCUGAGGUCAGGAGUUUGUGACCAGCCUCACCUACAUGGUGGGGCCCAUGAGUGAGGAGGACAAGAGAGAAAGGAGAAGUUUGGGUGUAAAUCCCAGAGAUUGUUCAUCAUGUGAGAGGAGCCGUGCAUG